rnacentral:rRNA from 1 species
UUGGGUUUAAAGGGAGCGUAGGCCGGAGAUUAAGUGUGUUGUGAAAUGUAGACGCUCAACGUCUGACUUGCAGCGCAUACUGGUUUCCUUGAGUACGCACAACGUUGGCGGAAUUCGUCGUGUAGCGGUGAAAUGCUUAGAUAUGACGAAGAACUCCGAUUGCGAAGGCAGCUGACGGGAGCGCAACUGACGCUGAAGCUCGAAGGUGCGGGUAUCGAACAGGAUUAGAUACCCUGGUAGUCCGCACAGUAAACGAUGGAUGCCCGCUGUUGGUACCUGGUAUCAGCGGCUAAGCGAAAGCAUUAAGCAUCCCACCUGGGGAGUACGCCGGCAACGGUGAAACUCAAAGGAAUUGACGGGGGCCCGCACAAGCGGAGGAACAUGUGGUUUAAUUCGAUGAUACGCGAGGAACCUUACCCGGGCUUGAAUUGCAGAGGAAGGAUUUAGAGAUAAUGACGCCCUUCGGGGUCUCUGUGAAGGUGCUGCAUGGUUGUCGUCAGCUCGUGUCGUGAG